rnacentral:rRNA from 1 species
UACGUAGGGGGCGAGCGUUGUCCGGAUUUAUUGGGCGUAAAGAGCGUGUAGGCGGCCAGGUAGGUCCGUUGUGAAAACUCGAGGCUCAACCUCGAGACGUCGAUGGAAACCAUCUGGCUAGAGUCCGGAAGAGGAGAGUGGAAUUCCAGGUGUAGCGGUGAAAUGCGUAGAUAUCUGGAGGAACACCGGUGGCGAAGGCGGCAUCCUGGACCAACACUGACGCUGAGUGAGCGAAAGCCAGGGGAGCAAACGGG